rfam:Heterocephalus glaber contig8456, whole genome shotgun sequence.
AGCUUUGUGCAGUGGCAGUAUCAUAGCCAAUGAGGUAUAUCCAAGGCGCAAUUUUUGCUAAUUGAAGAGAAUAUAAAUUU